rnacentral:lncRNA from 1 species
AAACUAUUUGAGGCUAGCAUUGCAAUGGGGGACCAUGGCUGGAGACUGUCUCUCUUUGAACAUUAUGCAAGACAGGUUGCAGAUUGUCAGCUUGCUAUGUUAAUACUAUUGGGAAAUAUCAAUCUGUAGGGGCAUAUGCAACUGCAACAUAGCUGAAUGAAUUUGUGACUCAGAAGUGAGCUCAUUUAGGCCCAGCAGAUAUGAUGAACAAUAAAGAUGAGGUUCCAUAUCUUAGGAAAAGCAUGACCAGAAAGCCAACAAAGAUUCUAAUAGAGUUUUUAGUUAGGUUCAGUC